GAUGAACGCUGGCGGCGUGCCUAAUACAUGCAAGUCGAGCGAACGGACGAGAAGCUUGCUUCUCUGAUGUUAGCGGCGGACGUGUGAGUAACACGUGGAUAACCUACCUAUAAGACUGGGAUAACUUCGGGAAACCGUAGCUAAUACCGGAUAAUAUUUUGAACCGCAUGGUUCAAAGGUGAAAGACGGUCUUGCUGUCUCUUAUAGAUGGAUCCGCGCUGCAUUAGCUAGUUGGUAAGGUAACGGCUUACCAAGGCAACGAUGCAUAGCCGACCUGAGAGGAUGAUCGGCCACACUGGAACUGAGACACGGUCCAGACUCCUACGGGAGGCAGCAGGAGGGAAUCUUCCGCAAUGGGCGGAAGCCUGACGGAGCAACGCCGCGUGAGUGAUGAAGGUCUUCGGAUCGUAAAACUCUGUUAUUGGGGAAGAACAUAUGUGUAAGUAACUGUGCGCAUCUUGACGGUAACUAAUCAGAAAGCCACGGCUAACUACGGG
rnacentral:rRNA from 1 species